rnacentral:rRNA from 1 species
AUUGAACGCUGGCGGCAGGCCUAACACAUGCAAGUCGAGCGAGCGGCGGACGGGUGAGUAAUGUCUGGGAAACUGCCGGAUGGAGGGGGAUAACUACUGGAAACGGUAGCUAAUACCGCAUACCAUCAGAUGUGCCCAGAUGGGAUUAGCUAGUAGGUGGGGUAACGGCUCACGUAGGCGACGAUCCCUAGCUGGUCUGAGAGGAUGACCAGCCACACUGGAACUGAGACACGGUCCAGACUCCUCCGGGAGGCAGCAUUGGGGAUUAUUGCACAAUGGGCGCAAGCCUGAUGCAGCCCUGCCGCUUGUGUGAAGAAGGCCUUCGGGUUGUAAAGCCCUUUCAGCGGGGAGGCGUUACCCGCAGAAGAAGCACCGGCUAACUCCGUGCCAGCAGCCGCGGUAAUAC